UACGAAUCGUCCUAACGUUGUUCGGAUUCACUGGGUUUAAAGGGUGCGUAGGCGGUGCGUUAAGUCGGUGGUGAAAUACUUUGGCUCAACCAGAGAAUUGCCGCUGAAACUGGCGUGCUCGAGGGAGGUAGAGGUGCUUGGAACUUCCGGUGGAGCGGUGAAAUGCGUUGAUAUCGGAAGGAACACCUGUGGCGAAAGCGAAGCACUGGACCUCUUCUGACGCUGAGGCACGAAAGCCAGGGGAGCGAACGGG
rnacentral:rRNA from 1 species